CAUAUAAUUUUAUUUCCUUUCUACAAUAUUGUGCCAUAAGAGUUAAUUUUCUUAAUCUCGUUUUUAUAUUUAAUCUCUACUCCUUUCGCUACCUUCUAUAAGCGUACGGGUAGAACUUUCAGGUUUCCCUUUGAAAAUAGAAGUUUAUUUGAAAAUACUUGUCAUGUAAGUUUCCUCUGUAUCCCAUAUUCUCCUCCAUUUGGCAUUGUUGUUCAUUCUUCUCUUUUAUGUUAAAGUGCUAUUUGUUGACCGCAUGUAUGUAGUAGAGAAUUAAUUUUCACUCUUUUGAUUUUUUUUUUUUUUUAAGAGCUUGAUCUUGUGUUUUCUAUUCCUCAUUUCUUUAGUUUCGUAUCAGAAUAAUUUGAUUUACUUUAAAGGACAUUAUGGUUUUCACAUUUGAUCUGUACACCUUUCUCUACCUUUCCCAAUAAACUUCCCUUGACCUCAGGAAACCUGAAAAUUCUACCCUUAUGCUUAAAUCAAGGUAGAGAAAGGAGAAGAGAUCAAAUGUUAAAACCACAAUGUCCUAAAGAGUAAAUAAAAUUAUUCGGAUAUGAAACUAAAGAUAUGAGCAAUAGAAAACACAACAUCAAGCUUUUAAAAACAAACAAAUAUAUCAAAGGAUUGAAAAUAAACUCUCUACUACAUACAUGCGGUAAAAAAAUAACACUCAAACAUAAAAAGAGAAGAAUAGAGAACAAUGCGAAAUGGUAAAGAAUAAGGGAUACGGAGGAAACUUACCUGACAAGUAUUUCCAAAUGAGCUUCUCUUUUCCUCGAGACACUUGAAAAUUUUACUCUUAUGCUUAUAGAAAGUAGCGAAAGGAGUAGAGAUCAAAUGUAAAAACGAGAAUAAGAAAAUUAACUCUCAAGACACAAUAUCGUUGACAUGAAAUUAAAUUAUGCUGUUACGAAACUAAAAAAAUGAGAAUAGACAACGCAACAUCAGAAUAAAAAACAAACAAAGGAAUUAACAAAUUCAAAAAUAAUUUUCUAGUACACACAUACAGUAGACGCAUAAGAUGAAAACAUAAAAGAUAAAAAUGAAAAACAGUGCAAAAUUUGAGAGAAUAGGGAAUAGGGAGGAAACUUAUCAAAGAACCAAUUCCCAAUAAACUUCUAUUCACCACGGGAAACCUUAAAAUUCUACCCUUACGCUUAAAGCAAUGUAGAGAAAGGAGUAGAUAUCAAAUGUUAAAACCACAAUGUCCUUGGGAGUAAAUCAAAUUAUUUUGAUACAAAACUAAAAAAAUGAGGAAUAGAAAACACAACAUCAAGCUUUUAAAAAAAAAAACAAAGAAAUCAAAGGAUUGAAAAUUAAUUCUCUACUACACACAAGCGGUCAACAAAUAACACUCAAACAUAAAAGAGAAUAAUGAAGAACAAUGCAAAAUGGAGGAGAAUAGGGAAUACGGAGGAAACUUACCUGACAAGUAUUUCCCUAUAAACUUCUCUUUACCUCGAGAAACUUGAAAAUUCUACCCUUAUAUUUAUAGAAGGUAGCGAAAAGUGUAGACAUCAAAUGUAAAAAUGAUAAUAAGAAAAUUAACUCUUAAGGCUCAAUAUGGUUGAAAGGAAAUCAAAUUCUACUGAUACAAAACUAAAGAAAUGAGGAAUAGACAAUGCAACAUCAAGAUAAAAAACAAACAAAGAAAUUAAUGGAUUCAAUGUUAAUUUUCUAGAACACACAUAUAGUAGACAUAUAACACAAAAACAUAAAAGAUAAAUAAGAAGAACAACCAAGAUUUGAGAGAAUAGGGAAUAUGGAGAAAACUUACCGAAUAACUAAUUCCCAAUAAACUUCUCUUGACUAGGGGAAACCUGAAAAUUCUACCCUUACGCCUAAAACAAGGUAGAGAAAGGAGUAGAGAUCAAAUUUUAAAACCACAAUGUACUUGAAAGUAAAUAAAAAUUUUUUGAUAAGAAACUAAAGAAAUAAGAAAUAGAAAACACAACAUAGAGCUAUAAAAAAAAAACAAUGAAAUCAAAGGAUGGAAAAUUCAUUAUCUACUAAAUACACGCAGUGAACAAAUAACACUCAAACAUAAAAGAGAAAAAUACAUAACAAUGCAAAAUGGUGGAGAAUAGGAAAUACGAAGAAAACUUACUCGACAAGUAUUUCCAAAUACUCUUUUCCUUGGGAAACCUAAAAAAUUCUACCCUUACGCUUAUAGAAUGUAGCGAAAAGAGUAGAGAUCAAAAGUAAAAAUGAGAAUAAGAAAAUUAAUUCUUAAGGUGCAAUAUAGUUGAAAGGAAAUCAAAUUAUGCAAAUACAAAACUAAAGAAAAGAGGAAUAGACAACGCAAGAUCAAAAUUAAAAACAACCAAAGAAAUUAACGGAUUCAAAUUAAUUUUCUAGUACACACAUAUAGUAGACAUAUAACAUGAAAACAUACAAAAUAAAUAUGAAAAACAGUGCAAAAUUUGAGAGAAUAAGGAAUACGGAGGAACCUUAUUCAAGAACUAAUUCCCAAUAAACUUUCCUUCACCACGGGAAACCUGAAAAUUCUACCCUUACGCUUAAAGCAAGGUACAGAAAGGAUUAGAGAUCAAAUGUUAAAAUCACAAUGUCCUUGAAAGUAAAUAAAAUUAUUUUGAUAAGAAACUAAAGAAAUGAGUAAUAGAAAACACAAUAUAGAGCUCUAAAAAAACACAAUGAAAUCAAAGGAUUGAAAAUUAAUUCUCUACUACAUACACGUAGUCAACAAAUAACACUCAAACAAAACAGAGAAGAAUGAAGAACAAUGCGAAAUGGGGGAGAAUAGGGGAUACGAAGAAAACUUACUCGACAAGUAUUUCCAAACAAACUACUCUUUUCCUCGGGAUACCUUAAAAUUCUACUUUCACGCUUACCUGACAAGUAUGGGUGUACUAGAAAAUUAAUUUUGAAUCCGUUAAUUUCUUUGUUUAUUUUUUAUCUUGAUCUUGCGUUGUCUAUUCCUCAUUUCAUUAGUUUUGUAUCUACAUAAUUUGAUUUUCUUUCAACGAUAUUGUGCCUUAAGAGUUAAUUUUCUUAUUCUCGUUUUUACAUUUGAUCUCUACUCCUUCCGCUACAUUCUAUAAGCGUAAAGGUAGAAUUUUCAGGUUUCCCGAGGAAAAGAGAAGUUUGUUUGGAAAUACUUGUCAGGUAAGUUUUCUUCGUAUCCCCUAUUCUCCUCCAUUUCGCAUUGUUCUUCAUUCUUCUCUUUUUUGUUUGAGUGUUAUUUGUUGACUUCGUGUAUGUAGUAGACAACGAAUUUUCAAUCCUUUGAUUUCAUUGUUUUUUUUUAUAACUCUAUGUUAUGUUUUCUAUUACUCAUUUAUUUAGUUUCUUAUCAAAAUAAUUUUAUUUACUUUCAAGGACAUUGUGGUUUUAACAUUUGAUCUCUAAUCCUUUCUGUACCUUGCUUUAAGCGUAAAGGUAGAAUUUUCAGGUUUCCCGUGGUGAAGGAAAAGUUUAUUGGGAAUUAGUUCUUGGAUAAGGUUCCUCCGUAUUCCCUAUUCUCUCAAAUUUUGCACUGUUCUUCAUAUUUAUCUUGUAUGUUUUCAUGUUAUAUGUCUAUUGUAUGUAUGUACUAUAAAAUUAAUUUUGAAUCUGAUAAUGUCUUUGUUUAUUUUUUAUUUUUAUGGUGCGUUGUCUAUUCCUCAUUUCUUUAGUUUCGUAUCAACAUAAUUUGAUUUCCUUUCAACGAUAUUGUGCAUUAAGAGUUAAUUUUCUUAUUCUCGUUUUUACAUUUGAUCUCUACUCGUUUCGCUACAUUCUAUAAGCAUAAGGGUAGAAUUUUCAGGUUUCCCGAGGAAAGGAGAAGUUUUCAAUCCUUUGAUUUUAUUAUUUUCUUUUAGAGCUAUAUGUUGUGUUUUUCUAUUACUCAUUUCUUUAGUUUCUUAUCAAAAUAAUUUUAUUUACCUUCAAGGACAUUGUGGUUUUAACAUUUGAUCUCUACUCCUUUCGCUACAUUCUAUAAGCGUAAGGGUAGAAUUUUCAAGUUUCCCGAGGAAAAGAGAAGUUUGUUUGGAAAUACUUGUCAGGUAAGUUUUCUCCGUAUCCCCUAUUCUCCUUCAUUUCGCAUUGUUCUUCAUUCUUCUCUUUUAUGUUUGAGUGUUAUUUGUUGAAUUCGUGUAUGUAGUAGAGAAUGGAUUUUCAAUCUUUUGAUUUCAUUGUUUUUUUUUAGAGCUCUAUGUUGUGUUUUCUAUUAUUCAUUUCUUUAGUUUCAUAUCAAAUUAAUUUUAUUUACUCUCAAGGAUAUUGAUGUUUUAACAUUUAUUCUCUACACAUUUCUCAACUUGCUUUAAGCGUAAGGGUAGAAUUUUCAGGUUUCCCGUAGUGAAGAGAAGUUUAUUGGGAAUUAGUUAUUGGAUAAGUUUCCUCCGUAUUCCCUAUUCUCUCAAAUUUUGCGUUGUUCUUCAUUUUUAUCUUGUCAGUUUCCUCCGUAUCCUCUAUUCUCCUCCAUCUGGCAUUGUUAUUCAUUCUUCUCUUUUAUGUUUGAGUGUUAUUUGUUGACCGCGUGUAUGUAGUAGAGAAAUAAUUUUCAAUUCUUUGAUUUCGUUUUUUUUUUUUUUAAAAGCUUGAUGUUGUGUUCUCUAUUGCUCAUUUCUUUAGUUUCGUAUCCGAAUAAUUUUAUUUACUUUCAAGGACACUGUGGUUUUAACAUUUGAUCUUUUCUCCUUUCUCUACCUUGCUUUAAGCAUAAGGGUAGAAUUUUCAGGUUUCGCGUGGUCAAGAGAAGUUUAUUGGGAAUUAAUUCUUCGAUAAGUUUCCUCCCUAUUCCUUAUUCUCUCAAAUUUUGCAUUGUUUUUCAUAUUUAUCUUUUAUGUUUUCGUGUUAUAUGUCUACUGUAUGUGUGUACUAGAAAAUUAAUUUAUGAAUCCGUUAAUUUCUUUGUUUGUUUUUUAUCUUGAUCUUGCGUUGUGUAUUCCUCAUUUCAUUAGUUUCGUAUCUACAUAAUUUAAUUUCCUUUAACCGAUAUUGUGCCUUAAGAGUUAAUUUUCUUAUUCUCGUUUUUACAUUUGUAAUCUACUCAUUUCGCUACCUUCUAUAAGCGUAAGGGUAGAAUUUUUAGGUUUCCCCAGGAAAAGAAAUGUUUGUUUGGAAAUACUUGUCAGGUAAGUUUUCUCUGUAUCCACUAUUCUCCUCCAUUUUGUAAUGUUCUUCAUUCUUCUCUUUUAUGUUUGAUUGUUAUUUGUUGAUUGCGUGUAUAUAGUAGAUAAUGAAUUUUCAAUCCUUUGAUUUCAUUGUUUUUUUUUUUAGAGCUCUAUGUUGUGGUUUUUAUUACUCAUUUCUUUAGUUUCUUAUCAAAAUAAUUUUAUUUACUUUCAAGGACAAUGUGGUUUUAACAUUUGAUUUCUACUCUUUUCUCUACCUUGUUUUAAGCGUAAGAGUAAAAUUUUUAGGUUUUCCGUGGUGAAGAUAAGUUUAUUGGGAAUUAGUUCUUGGAUAAGUUUCCUCCGUAUUCCCUAUUCUCUCAAAUUUUGCACGGUUCUUCAUAUUUAUCUUGUAUGUUUUCGUAUUAUAUGUCUACUGUAUGUGUGUGCUAGAAAAUUAAUUUUGAUUCUGUUAACUUCUUUGUUUGUUUUUUAUCUUAAUUUUGCGUUGCUUAUUCCUCAUUUCUUUAGUUUCAUAUCUGCAUAGUUUGAUUUUCUUUCAACCAAAGCCUUAAGAGUUAAUUUUCUUAUUCUUGUUUUUACAUUUGAUCUCUACCCCUUUUGCUUCCUUCUAUAAGCGUAAAGGUAGAAUUUUUAGGUUUCCCAAAGAAAAGAGAAGUUUAUUGGAAAAUACUUGUCAGAUAAGUUUCCUCGAUAUACACUAUUCUCCUUCAUUACGCAUUGUAAUUCAUUCUGCUCUUUUAUGUUUGAGUGUUAUUUGUUGACUACAUGUAUGUAGUAGAGAAUGAAUUUUCAAUCUUUUGAUUUCAUUGUUUUUUUUUAGCUUUAUGUUGAGUUUUCUAUUACUCAUUUCUUAAGUUUCUUAUCAAAAUAAUUUUAUUUACUCUUAAGAAAAUUGUGGUUUUAACAUUUGAUCUCUACUCCUUUCUCGACCUUCCUUUAAGCGUAACGGUAGAAUUUUCAGGUUUCCCGUGGUGAGGAGAAGCUUUUUGGGAAUUAGUUCUUGUAUAAGUUUCCUCUGUAUUCCCCUAUUCUCUCAAAUUUUGCAUUGUUCUUCAUAGUUAUCUUGUAUGUUUUCGUGUUAUAUGUCCACUGUAUAUGUGUACUAGAAAAUUAAUUUUGAAUCCGUUAAUUUCUUUGUUUGUUUUUUAUCUUGAUCUUGCGUUGUCUAUUCCUCAUUUCUUUAGUUUCGUAUCAGCAUAAUUUAAUUUCCUUUCAACGAUAUUGUGUCUUGAGAGUUAAUUUUCUUAUUCUCGUUUUUACAUUUGAUCUCUACGCCUUUCGUUACUUUCUAUAAGCGUAAGGGUAGAAUUUUCAAGUGUCCCGAGGAAAUGAGAAGUUUAUUUGGAAAUACUUGUCAGGUAAGUUUCCUCUGUAUCCCUUAUUCUCUUCCAUUUCGCAUUGUUCUUUAUUAUUCUCUUUUAUGUUUGAGUGUUAUUUUUUAAUCGCAUGUAUGUAGUAGAGAAUAAAUUUUCAAUCCUUUGAUUUCUUUGUUUUCUUUUUAAAAGCUUGUUGUUGUGUUUUCUUCCUCAUUUCUUUAGUUUCGUAUCAGAAUAAUUUGAUUUACUUUCAAGGACAUUGUGCUUUUCACAUUUGAUCUAUACACCUUUCUUUAAGCAUAAGGGUAGAAUUUUCAGGUUUCCCGAGGUCAAGAGAAGUUUAUUGAGAAUUAGUUCUUCGAUAAGUUUCCUCCAUAUUCCCUAUUCUCUCAAAUUAUGCAUUGUUCUUCAUAUUUAUCUUUUAUGUUUUCGUGUUAUAUGUCUAUUGUAUGUAUGUACUAGAAAAUUAAUUUUGAAUCCGUUAAUUUCUUUAUUUGUUUUUUAUCUCGAUGUUGCGUUGUCUAUUCCUCAUUUUUUUAGUUUCGUAUCAGCAUAAUUUAAUUUCAUUUCAACGAUAUUGUGUCUUGAGAGUUAAUUUUCUUAUUCUCGUUUUUACAUUUAAUCUCUACUCCUUUCGCUACUUUCUAUAAGUGUAAGGGUAGAAUUUUCAAGUGUCCCGAGGAAAAGAGAAGUUUAUUUGGAAAUACUUGUCAGGUAAGUUUCCUCCGUAUUCCCUAUUCUCUUCCAUUUCGCAUUGUUCUUUAUUAUUCUCUUUUAUGUUUGAGUGUUAUUUGUUGACCACAUAUAUGUAGUAGAGAAUUAAUAUUCAAUCCUUUGAUUUCUUUGUUUUUUUUUUUAAAAGCUUGAUGUUGUGUUUUCUAUUCCUCAUUUCUUUAGUUUCGUAUCAGAAUAAUUUUGAUUUACUUUCAAGGACAUUGUGGUUUUCAC
rnacentral:lncRNA from 1 species